rnacentral:rRNA from 1 species
UUGGACAUGCCCGCAGGGUGACCAGCCAUGCCGCGUGCAGGAAGAAGGCCCUAUGGGUUGUAAACUGCUUUUACACCGGAGAAAACCCCCCUACGUGUAGGGGGCUGAUAGUAUGGUGAGAAUAAGCAUCGGCUAACUUCGUGCCAGCAGCCGCGGUAAGACGAAGGAUGCAAGCGUUAUCCGGAUUUAUUGGGUUUAAAGGGAGCGUAGGUGGCCUUAUAAGUCAGUGGUGAAAGCCUGUUGCUUAACAACAGAAUUGCCAUUGAUACUGUAGGGCUUGAGUAUAGUUGCUGUGGGCGGAAUAUGACAUGUAGUGGUGAAAUACUUAGAGAUGUCAUAGAACACCGAUUGCGAAGGCAGCUCACAAAACUAUAACUGACACUGAGGCUCGAAAGUGCGGGGAUCAAACAGGAUUAGAUACCCUGGUAGUCCGCACUGUAAACGAUGAUUACUCGUUGCUGGGAAGCAAUUUUCAGUGACUAAGCGAAAGCGAUAAGUAAUCCACCUGGGGAGUACGCCGGCAACGGUGAAACUCAAAAGAAUUGACGGA